UUUUCCCGGAAAGAAGUAAGACCACUUGUGGGGUUGGGCCUAGGGGAGAAGCCUCAGCCAUAAAUAAAUAUGGCUCUUCUCACCAAUUCUUCAGGGUGAGAAGUUGUAGUGAGACAGCAGACGUGUUAUUCCGCUGAAUUCCAGAGUGAAAGUGUAGGGCUGCUCCAUAUCCCAGAAACAGUGAACGUAGGCCAUGGUGGGCGUGGACAUUUCCCAGAUGCAGUGGAUGUAGGCCAUGGUGGGCAUGGACAUUUUUUAAGGGUCUUGGUUCUCUCAGAGGUGGAGGAGCAGGAGGCAGGCCUGUGGGCUGGAGAAUGCUGUGUGGGGAACAACGACCUCUCUUUCUGUAACUGUCAAGCUGAGCUGACUUACUAAACUCACAGUAUUCAUGAGGGUCAUUGGCUUUCUCAUGGGAAAUAGUGCAGGGUCAAACUGAGAUGGCAGAUCUCAUUAGGAAUGGAAAAGCAGACAGGUCAGAAAUAUGCCAAAAAUGUAUGGAGGAUUCUGGACUCACAUAGAAGUGAAAUCAGGGGAGCCAGCUUGACAACUCUUUGAGGGACAGGGUAGCCCCAAAUGAUGCCUGGUUUAUAAUAGAUGCAAUUUUAGUAAGAUUUCUAAAGGUUACUUCUUGUAGUUUUCAGUAGCCAACAUGGCAUCUUAGCACUCCAGACCCUUUUGGAUACUAUAAGUGCCAAUAAUGAUCUUUCUGGAUUCUACGUUUAACCUGAUGGAAGAGACAUGAUAUGCAAUUAAAGAAAGUAGUCUCAGAAACAUGUUUUUCCUACUCUUAGAGCAAGGUAGUCCACCAGAAAUCUAAUGCAUGGUUAUGUUGCCUUAUUUAUGUGUAAUACAUUUUACAUUUAUGGAAUGGCAAUGGGUUUUGAGAUUUAUGACUAAAAGAAACAAAGUGAAAAGCACCACCACCACCACCACCAAUGAUAGCAAUACUGUUAUUGAAGACUUUUUGUCCUUUGCUUUACUCGGAGUACUCUUGAUAAGGUUCUACUUGAGAACAUUAUUUAAAGAUUUAGUGCCCAGAAAUACAUUGCAACCUCAAAGAAAAUUGAUGUUUCCUCUAUGAGAUAAUUUAAAUGAAAUGACAGAAUGAAAUG
rnacentral:lncRNA from 10 species